rnacentral:rRNA from 1 species
AUUGAACGCUGGCGGCAGGCCUAACACAUGCAAGUCGAGCGGAUGAAGGGAGCUUGCUCCUGGAUUCAGCGGCGGACGGGUGAGUAAUGCCUAGGAAUCUGCCUGGUAGUGGGGGAUAACGUCCGGAAACGGGCGCUAAUACCGCAUACGUCCUGAGGGAGAAAGUGGGGGAUCUUCGGACCUCACGCUAUCAGAUGAGCCUAGGUCGGAUUAGCUAGUUGGGGGGGUAAAGGCCUACCAAGGCGACGAUCCGUAACUGGUCUGAGAGGAUGAUCAGUCACACUGGAACUGAGACACGGUCCAGACUCCUACGGGAGGCAGCAGUGGGGAAUAUUGGACAAAGGGCGAAAGCCUGAUCCAGCCAUGCCGCGUGUGUGAAGAAGGUCUUCGGAUUGUAAAGCACUUUAAGUUGGGAGGAAGGGCAGUAAGUUAAUACCUUGCUGUUUUGACGUUACCAACAGAAUAAGCACCGGCUAACUUCGUG